rnacentral:lncRNA from 1 species
UACCUUACCAUCGACACCUAUCUUCCUUUUAUAGAUCUAUUUACAUUCAAUAGGUACAAUACCUUCAGAUAGAUCCAUGAAAGUCCAGACUUGCUUCGAGUGCAUCGAGUCAAAUUCUAACUUCAUAGCAUCUAACCAUUUCUUGAAAUCGAUGUCAGACAUCAUCUCAUCAAAGGUAUUGAGAUCAUCACCAUGAUCCCUAUCUUCCAUAAGGAAUAUUUUUUUUACUUCCUCCAUAAGUAUAUCCAUGUACCUUUCAG